UACGGUAGGUGGCAAGCGUUGUCCGGAUUUACUGGGCGUAAAGAGCGCGCAGGCGGUCGUUCAAGUCGCGUGUGAAAGCCCCCCGGCUCAACUGGGGAGGGUCACGCGAUACUGAUCGACUCGAAGGCAGGAGAGGGUAGUGGAAUUCCCGGUGUAGUGGUGAAAUGCGUAGAUAUCGGGGAGGAACACCAGUGGCGAAGGCGACUACCUGGCCUGUUCUUGACGCUGAGGCGCGAAAGCUAGGGGAGCAAACGGG
rnacentral:rRNA from 1 species